rnacentral:lncRNA from 1 species
ACACUCCAUCACCUUGUCUUUCUGAGCCCUGGGAAAAGCUUCGUCAGUAUUUUUGCACCACUCCCCUCCAUCCAUGCUGCCUUUCUCCCAGAAUUCAUGGUGCCUUAGUCAGAGCAGAAGAGAGCAAGACGAGAGAAAGGAAAAGAUUCAGAAAGAGAAAAAGAUACAAGAGCCGCUAGCUGUAGACAGAAGGCUCCAUGGCAGAGCAUUUAAUGCUGAACACUGCUGUUAGAGAGAAUGCAUUAUUAAUGUGAGGGGAAACUAACGGGGACCAGCAGCUCCUCGGGGCUGUGAAGAGGACGGUUGGCGUCUCUGAGGAAGCAACACCACGCCUCAAAGAAAUCACAGCCCUGGAACUCCAGAUGAAGACUAGACCUUUAUUCUUUACGCGGAGAGAGGUCAUGGUGCCUGUAUCACUCACGCUGACCCCUCUCUUCGCUGACUGUCUUUUCAAAGAGAAAAAGGGGAGAGCUUUCAAGACCUCCAAUCUCCCGCUCUCUUCAUCAACACUCAGUCCCUGUGAAAUCAUCAAAAAGAAGAGUCUUCCACUCCAUAGGCACAGGGGCCAGAUGUCACCUGUCCUCCCGGGCGAGUGGAGCACUGGUGGGGCUAAGACUCAAGCGAGGCAGGCUGCCCUGGUUCUCUCUCUCUGCCUGGCUGGAGACACCUGCUCCUCGCCUCACUGGUGA